rnacentral:rRNA from 1 species
CACGUGAGUUACAUGCCCCGCAGUGGGGGAUAGCCCGCCGAAAGGCGGAUUAAUACCCCAUGGUAUCGCGAGAUUAAAGGUGGCUUCGGCUGCCGCUGCGGGAUUGGCUCGCGUCCUAUCAGCUUGUUGGUGAGGUAACGGCUCACCAAGGCGACGACGGGUAGCUGGUCUGAGAGGACGAUCAGUCACACUGGAACUGGAGACACGGUCCAGACACCUACGGGUGCAGCAGUCGAGAAUAAUUCACAAGUGGGGCAACCUGAUGGUGCAACGCCGCGUGGAGGAUGAAGGCCCUAGGGU